UUCAAGCUGACAUUUUAGUCUCCUUUGCUCUAUUGUUUCAUUGUUAAUAUAGGAGGAAUUCAUAUUUUGCCCCCUUGGUGAGAACUGCCUUACUAGUAUGGACCCUAUAGGUUUACUAGUAUGGACCCUAUAGGUUUACUAGUAUGGACCCUAUAGGUUUACUUGUAUGGACCCUUUAGGUUUACUAGUUUGGACCCUAUAGGUUUACUUGUAUGGACCCUAUAGGUUUACUAGUUUGGACCCUAUAGGUUUACUUGUAUGGACCCUAUAGGUUUACUAGUAUGGACCCUAUAGGUUUACUAGUUUGGACCCUAUAGGUUUACUAGUAUGGACCCUAUAGGUUUACUUGUAUGGACCCUAUAGGUUUACUUGUAUGGACCCUAUAGGUUUACUAGUUUGGACCCUAUAGGUUUACUAGUAUGGACCCUAUAGGUUUACUAGAAUGGACCCUAUAGGUUUACUAGUAUGGACCCUAUAGGUUUACUAGUAUGGACCCUAUAGGUUUACUAGUAUGGACCUAUCUAUAGGUUUACUAGUAUGGACCCUAUAGGUUUACUAGUAUGGACCCUAUAGGUUUACUAGUAUGGACCCUAUCUAUAGGUUUACUAGUAUGGACCCUAUAGGUUUACUAGUAUGGACCCUAUAGGUUUACUAGUAUGGACCUUUAUCAGAGGAGGUUUAUAUUCACCUGGCAGAACAAACAGCUUAGGCAUUAGGGGUUGAAGUGCAGGGUUAAAGUAGGGUUACGUUUAGGGUUAGAAACCAGGGUUAUGUUAAGGUUAGUUUGAGGUUAUGUUAAGGUUAGUUUGAGGUUACGGUAAGGUUAGUUUGAGGUUAUGUUAAGGUUAGUUUGAGGUUACGGUAAGGUUAGUUUGAGGUUAUGUUAAGGUUAGUUUGAGGUUAAGGUUAGUUUGAGGUUAUGUUAAGGUUAGUUUGAGGUUAUGUUAAGGUUAGUUUGAGGUUUAAGGUUAGUUUGAGGUUAUGUUAAGGUUAGUUUGAGGUUACGUUAAGGUUAGUUUGAGGUUACGGUAAGGUUAGUUUGAGGUUACGUUAAGGUUAGUUUGAGGUUACGGUAAGGUUAGUUUGAGGUUACGGUAAGGUUAGUUUGAGGUUACGUUAAGGUUAGUUUGAGGUUACGGUAAGGUUAGUUUGAGGUUACGGUAAGGUUAGUUUGAGGUUACGGUAAGGUUAGUUUGAGGUUACGUUAAGGUUAGUUUGAGGUUAUGUUAAGGUUAGUUUGAGGUUACGGUAAGGUUAGUUUGAGGUUACGGUAAGGGUUAGAGUUAGGGAAAGGCUUCAACUUUUGGGCUGGCGCAACUCCACCUCCGUAAAUAUAUCUGCCAGUUAAACAAACACCACCUUAAUCAGAACACAGUAUUAGUAUUAGUCUGUACUGGAACGUAUUGGAAAGUUUCUCCAGUUUAAAAUAUAGCAGUGUCUCCAACUCCACUCCCAGGUAUUCGUUGGCCAAACUGCUGUAGAUGCUGCCAAAGCUAAGCUUCUGCUCUGUGUUUUACUGCUGUUUGCAUGUGCCUCAGUCCUCACUUCUUCACAGCGGUUUCUCCUCUCAUUAAAGGGUUUUAAUCUGC